ACAGAAGAACAAAUGUGGGCAGCCGAUGGACUCAUGCGAAAUGUGUGCCUAUCAAAAUUCCCCAAAAUAACUAACGAAAUUGCUGAUAAAUUAGAGCUGGUUCCCUGUCUAAUGAUAAGCAUGCCAAAUGUCAUGUUUACUGCAUUUUGGAAAUGAUGCAAACGAAGAAGUAGGGUACAUUCUUGUAUGAAGCUUCUUUGAAGCAAGUCGAUGUCCUCAUUCACGAUGACUAUAAAGAUGAAAACAAAGCUGGAUUGACAGCAUGCAAGGAUGCAUGCGUGGGGGUUAAGAACAAUUGCGAAGCUGUGGGAUUCGAUUCACCGAUAAGGGGCCUUCUUUUUAUACCCGAGACGGAACAGCAUGCCGCAAUUCGACAUGUCUUUGGGGAAAAGUUUUUAUUUACAUGGCUUCUAUGCAUGGCAAAGUACCUCGCGAAUCUCGCCAGCAUUAAGAAGGGAUAACAACCGCUGCAAAAUUUUGUUCUAUGUUCUAUGUUCUCGCCCUCUGCGCAACUUUGGUGGUGCUAUGACAUUCUCUUAAUAGAAUUUUCAUGGGAAAAAUUUGGUAUUUGAAA
rnacentral:sRNA from 1 species